UUUAUACAAGGUAUAUGUAGCUUACUAAGUAAUGUUAGAAAAUAGGGAAAAUAAAAAAUUUAUUCAUCCAAAAAAAAAAUUUAAUAACAAUUAGUCGCCUUCUCGCUUAAGCGCUUAGACAAACCUCCAACGCCUUGGUUCGACUUGGCGCCAUGACAACUAUGAAGAAUGGGGAGAAUGCUUGAGUGAUCUGACUGAUCAUAUAAGCCUUUAUUUAUAAUAUGCAAAAUAGAGUCAUGAUAGGAGUACAAGACAAAACAUACCCAAAUUACAAGUAUACCCCUCCCCAUCCAGCUGCCCCACUCUAAAUAGGGUCAGUGGAGGGGGAAAGCCCCAAUGUGCCCCUGCGGCACACUUAACCCCUAUUCUAACAGGAACCCAUGGCCAUAACCUAUCUCUCAAACCGGGUCCUACAAAAUAAAUGGGACCAAUUAUCUUACAUUAUACCGGGCAUGCCUUCUUAGUAUCCAGCAUAAUAAUUUCUAGGGUAUCUGACUGGCCACACCCCAAAGCCUACUAAGGCUACUGCUGGCAGCACUUGAUCAGCCAAUGAUGCCCUUAUUAUGUCAUUUCUCCUAAACACCAUGGAGCCUGCAAUCAACGCCAAAUUUGUCUUACUAAACUCUAUGAAGGAAUUACGUUAUGUAGUUAAGCAAACCUAUGCACAACCAAGCAAUUAUGGCUAGAUCUAUGAACUUCAUCACCAAGUUAAUGAGACCACUCAAAAAGGAGUUGUCACUUCCUGCUUACUACUUUACUCUUAAUACUCUGGCAAUCAUUGGACUUCUGCCACCUUGUUCCCAUGGCCUGUACUGUUGAUGCUAGAGCUUUUCAGAAGGAGCGCAAGAUGGAAAGAGUAUGAUUCCUUACUAACUUGAAUCCAGAGGAUGUAUCUGAGUCCAGGUUCGUAGUAGAGAUAAAUUCCCUACACUGCUCCAGGCUUAUAAUUUGGUUCAACAUGAGGAACGUCGCCGCUUUGUUAUGAUGCAUUGUAUUGCCCCUACUCGAUAUCGGAUCUUGUUACUACUACUUAGGUUCUCCAAAACAUGGACCAUCUUAGUUCUAUCACUAAACCUGAUACUCCUGCAAAAGAAUCAGCAAAGUGUAAUUAUUGUAGGCAUCCUUGCCACACCAAAGAGACUUUUGGAAGCUUCAUGGUAGCCCUAAAGGGGGGCGUGGUGGGAACAAGGGCCUUCCCUCUCUAAGCUCAUCUCUCUGAGAUGACUGAAAAUUCAUCCUCCACUCCUACACCUCCAUUCUCUUUGGAACAGAUAGUUGCUCUCCAGCACAUAAUGACAGCUUGGUACAGAAACCUCUCCCAGUGACUCUUCAACUACACAUCUCUUCACUUCACAUCUAGCCCAAUCAGGUAUAUUUCAUGUUUGUUCUAGUUCUAGUCCUUCUUGGCUCCUUGAUUCCGGGGCCUUCGAUCAUAUGACUAGCUCCUCAUAUAUGUUUCGUAACUAUCUCCCUUGUUUGAGUUGCCGAUGGGUCCCUGUCUGCUAUUUCUGGUAAAGGUUUUGUUUCUCUCUCCUACUAUAUCCUUGUCAUUUGUUCUCCAUGUCCCUAACAUUUAUGCUAAUUACUUUCCAUCGAUUGAUGUAGAUCGAAACAUUAAGAAAAUAAGGCCAAAACACUGUUCACGCGAACAAUGUCCUAGCGCAUAUUUGUCACAUAAAGGAAUGCUUCUAGAAGAUUUUGUGGGUCUCAAGGACAGAUUUCGUGAAAGAGGAAUAGUUUGUUUUCUUUUUUUAAUUAGUUUCUAUUUCGUUAAGUCUUGGACAGCAAGCUAUCGAUGGAGACUUCUAGAAUACUUUCUUCGUCCAAAGGAUUGUUUCCUUUAAGCCUUAUUUCCUUUUUGGUUUUAUUUACCUUCAGUUAUUUAUUAUUGUACAAGGAACAAAGGAAGAUCUCUCUCGCUAGAGACUUUCUUUUCUUAUUUGUCUACUUUUUCAUGUAACCUUCUAUUUUGGAGGCGAGGCUCAUGCCUAUAUAAUGUAACGACCCAUGAAAGGUCCCCCAGGAUUUAAUGAAUAACGAAUUUAUUUGCUUUGUGCAAUGGGAAGCUGUGAGAGACAGUAAGGUGAGAUACCCUUGGCUUAGAUAGCCCUCCCCCUUUCUUCCCUUUUUCUCUUCUCUAAUUGAUCCCUUGUCUGAGUUUAUUUUUCUGGUCUUCUGUGAUCCAUCAAACCCUCCAUAGAAGCUGCUGAUUUCACUCAUUGAAGUCACCAUUGAAUGACCAAAACACUGCUGGAUCUUGUUGCAAAUCAGAGGAGACAUUCAUCAUCUGCAGCUCCUCUUUCUUGAGGUUUCCUGCUGAAACCUUCAAGAGUGUCGAUCUCAGCAGCCUGUGACCUAUUGAGGCUGAUCUUUUGGGAUUCUAUUUCCCCUCCAAGGAACCCUACUCGAUGGUGAUUUGGAGUGGUCCUGAGCCUUGAUGAUAUUAGCUCCAGAAAUCUCCUAUUUCAUCCCUAAAUCAAGAAUCUGCCAAUCUCCAGAUUUAACUAUCAGUUUCGUCUGAUAUUUUGAGGAUUGAAUCCUUCCACCCAUACCUAAGUUCAAUGCGCUAUUGUGAUGAGGCAGCAAUCAGUAUAGCUAUAACCCAUUCCAGAACGACAAGGACCAAGCAUAUUGAGAUUACUAGACAAUUCAUUGAGGAGAAGCUUGAAGAAUGAUCAAUUUGCAUUCCAUUUGUCACUUCUAAGAAUCAAUUAGCUGAUGCAUUCACAAAGAGUUUGACUUCUAAGUUAUUCUAUCCUAUUGUAAGUUGGGCAUGAGGAAUAUCCAUGUACCAACUUGAGGGUGAGUCUUUAGGACAAGGGUUAUGACUAGAAUUAUGAUACAAACUGUGACUCAGCCUUAGUUGUCUUGCCUCAAUUGUAAUCAUUGUAAUCCUUGUACAAAAAAGGGCGUACCUGGUGCAUGAGGCUCCCACAUGUGCGAGGUCCGGGGGACGAGAACUAUGCAGCAGCCUUACCCCGAGAAUGUCGAGAGGCUAUUUCGACCGCUUGACCACCAGGUCGCAACAUUGUAAUCCUUGUAUCCUUUUUAUAAAUAAAAAAGGACUUUGUCAUUCUAGACAAGCCGAAUCAUUCUUCUA